CUGCCCCGCGCAUCCUCCGAGCCGCCUCCCAGCCCGCGCAUCCUCGGCUCACCUCCCCCGGGCCUCGCCGGGGUCCGGCUUCGUGUUCCUUGCGGACCGGAAUUCGACCGAGGACGUGGGAGUCGUUGCGCGCUUCUCGGGAGGCCAAAGGACGGGGAGGAGACGUGCGGGCAGCGCGUCACGCCCUCCUAGCGCCUGGCAGGGUCAGAGCCAAGUGCACGGGCGCUGCCCAGCCGAGCCUUUCAGUUUGCCCACGCUCGAGUUUGGUAGUCGAGGUGGCUGGAAGCAUCUGCCCUAACUCCACCCUUCUUCAUCUCUGUCUUCAGUUUGAAUGUACCGCCUAAACUUAUUCUGCCUUGCCAUUGGCCAAACAGCUUUAUUUAUCAACCAAUGAGAGCAACACAUAUUUACAGUACACAGAAAGACAUCCCACAGCAGAAGGAAGCAGUAGCUGAAGAAUCAGGCUCUAGUGCAGGGAGCCGGGACAAUCGCCAUUAUAAGAUGGCGCUGACUUCUCUGCAUUCUGAAGAUUUAUUACUCCUAAGACAAUGCUUUCGACGAAAUACACGCCUCUGCUUUGCAUAUGCACAAGUUAUAUUGGCCCCUCACCAAUCCUGUCUUGCCUGGUGGCCGCAGGCUAAGUUCAGCCAGCGAUUCGCGCCUCUUUCCCUAUAAAAAGCAGCCGCUUUCACUGCCCCCUCCCCUCGCUUCCAGCACUCCCUUAACCAAAGGCUCUCCAAUAAAGUGUGAUCGGGAAGAA